rnacentral:rRNA from 1 species
UCGUAGCGCGGGAAGCUGACUGAAUCCUUCGGGAGGACGUGAGUGGAACGAGCGGCGGACGGGUGAGUAACACGUGGGCAACCUGCCUGUAAGACUGGGAUAACUCCGGGAAACCGGGGCUAAUACCGGAUAGUACUUUGGUUCAUAGGAACCGAAGUGGAAAGGUGGCGCAAGCUACCACUUACAGAUGGGCCCGCGGUGCAUUAGCUAGUUGGUGAGGUAACGGCUCACCAAGGCAACGAUGCAUAGCCGACCUGAGAGGGUGAUCGGCCACACUGGGACUGAGACACGGCCCAGACUCCUACGGGAGGCAGCAGUAGGGAAUCUUCCGCAAUGGACGAAAGUCUGACGGAGCAACGCCGCGUGAACGAAGAAGGUUUUCGGAUCGUAAAGUUCUGUUGUUAGGGAAGAACAAGUACCGUUCGAAUAGGGCGGUACCUUGACGGUACCUAUCGAGGAAGCCCCGGCUAACUACGUGCCAGCAGCCGCGGUAAUACGUAGGGGGCAAGCGUUGUCCGGAAUUAUUGGGCGUAAAGCGCGCGUAGGCGGUUUCUUAAGUCUGAUGUGAAAUCUUGCGGCUCAACCGCAAGCGGUCAUUGGAAACUGGGGAACUUGAGUACAGAAGAGGAGAGCGGAAUUCCACGUGUAGCGGUGAAAUGCGUAGAGAUGUGGAGGAACACCAGUGGCGAAGGCGGCUCUCUGGUCUGUAACUGACGCUGAGGUGCGAAAGCGUGGGGAGCGAACAGGAUUAGAUACCCUGGUAGUCCACGCCGUAAACGAUGAGUGCUAGGUGUUACGGGGUUUCCGCCCCUUAGUGCUGCA